rnacentral:rRNA from 1 species
UGCAAGUCGAGCGGUAGAGAGAAGCUUGCUUCUCUUGAGAGCGGCGGACGGGUGAGUAAUGCCUAGGAAUCUGCCUGGUAGUGGGGGAUAACGUUCGGAAACGGACGCUAAUACCGCAUACGUCCUACGGGAGAAAGCAGGGGACCUUCGGGCCUUGCGCUAUCAGAUGAGCCUAGGUCGGAUUAGCUAGUUGGUGGGGUAAUGGCUCACCAAGGCGACGAUCCGUAACUGGUCUGAGAGGAUGAUCAGUCACACUGGAACUGAGACACGGUCCAGACUCCUACGGGAGGCAGCAGUGGGGAAUAUUGGACAAUGGGCGAAAGCCUGAUCCAGCCAUGCCGCGUGUGUGAAGAAGGUCUUCGGAUUGUAAAGCACUUUAAGUUGGGAGGAAGGGCUGUUACCUAAUACGUGAUGGUUUUGACGUUACCGACAGAAUAAGCACCGGCUAACUCUGUGCCAGCAGCCGCGGUAAUACAGAGGGUGCAAGCGUUAAUCGGAAUUACUGGGCGUAAAGCGCGCGUAGGUGGUUUGUUAAGUUGGAUGUGAAAUCCCCGGGCUCAACCUGGGAACUGCAUUCAAAACUGACUGACUAGAGUAUGGUAGAGGGUGGGUGGGAAUUUCCUGUGUAGCGGUGAAAUGCGUAGAUAUAGGAAGGAACACCAGUGGCGAA